GACGAACCGUGCGAACGUUGUUCGGAAUCACUGGGCUUAAAGGGCGCGUAGGCGGGCGGGCAAGUCUGCGGUGAAAGCCUCCAGCUCAACUGGAGAAGUGCCGUGGAUACUGCUCAUCUUGAGGAGGGUAGGGGCGUCUGGAACGUUGGGUGGAGCGGUGAAAUGCGUUGAUAUCCAACGGAACUCCGGUGGCGAAGGCGAGGCGCUGGACCCUUUCUGACGCUGAUGCGCGGAAGCCAGGGGAGCGAACGGG
rnacentral:rRNA from 1 species